rnacentral:misc_RNA from 1 species
GAUGAAGAACGCAGCGAAAUGCGAUACUUGGUGUGAAUUGCAGAAUCCCGUGAACCAUCGAGUCUUUGAACGCAAGUUGCGCCCGAAGCCAUUAGGCCGAGGGCACGCCUGCCUGGGCGUCACACGUCGUUGCCCCCCCAUCUACUCCUUCGGGAUUGCGGGGGGCGGAUGAUGGCCUCCCGUGCGCCUCGUCGCGCGGUUGGCAUAAAUGCCAAGUCCUCGGCGACGCACGCCACGACAAUCGGUGGUUGCGAAACCUCGGUUGCCCGUCGCGUGCGGUCGUCGCGCAUCGAGGGCUCGAAAAAAUUGCCGGGCUCCGGCUCGGCUUUCAACGCGACCCCAGGUCAGGCGGGGUUACCCGCUGAAUUUAAGCAUAUCAAUAAGCGGAGGA